GAUGAACGCUGACAGAAUGCUUAACACAUGCAAGUCAACUUGAACUUCGGUUUGGGUGGCGGACGGGUGAGUAACGCGUAAAGAACUUGCCUCACAGAUAGGGACAACAUUUGGAAACGAAUGCUAAUACCUGAUAUUAUGAUUAUAUGGCAUCGUAUAAUUAUGAAAGCUAUAUGCGCUGUGAGAGAGCUUUGCGUCCCAUUAGCUAGUUGGAGAGGUAACGGCUCACCAAGGCGAUGAUGGGUAGCCGGCCUGAGAGGGUGAUCGGCCACAAGGGGACUGAGACACGGCCCUUACUCCUACGGGAGGCAACAGUGGGGAAUAUUGGACAAUGGACCAAGAGUCUGAUCCAGCAAUUCUGUGUGCACGAUGAAGUUUUUCGGAAUGUAAAGUGCUUUCAGUUGGGAAGAAAAAAAUGACGGUACCAACAGAAGAAGUGACGGCUAAAUACGUG
rnacentral:rRNA from 1 species